UGGGGAAUAUUGCACAAUGGGCGCAAGCCUGAUGCAGCCAUGCCGCGUGUAUGAAGAAGGCCUUCGGGUUGUAAAGUACUUUCAGCGAGGAGGAAAGGUUAACGGUUAAUACCCGUUAGCUGUGACGUUACUCGCAGAAGAAGCACCGGCUAACUCCGUGCCAGCAGCCGCGGUAAUACGGAGGGUGCGAGCGUUAAUCGGAAUUACUGGGCGUAAAGCGCAUGCAGGCGGUCUGUUAAGCGAGAUGUGAAAGCCCCGGGCUUAACCUGGGAACUGCAUUUCGAACUGGCAGACUAGAGUCUUGUAGAGGGAGGUAGAAUUUCAGGUGUAGCGGUGAAAUGCGUAGAGAUCUGAAGGAAUACCAGUGGCGAAGGCGGCCUCCUGGACAAAGACUGACGCUCAGAUGCGAAAGCGUGGGGAGCAAACAGGAUUAGAUACCCCCGUAGUCC
rnacentral:rRNA from 1 species